rnacentral:rRNA from 1 species
GACAGAGGUCCCGAGCGUUAGGCGGAAUCACUGGGCUUAAAGCGUGUGUAGGCGGAUCGUUAAGUGCCUUGUGAAAUCCCACGGCUUAACCGUGGAACUGCUUGGCAUACUGGCGGUCUUGAGCAACCUAGGGGCAAGCGGAACAAAUGGUGGAGCGGUGAAAUGCGUAGAUAUUCGCAAGAACACCAGUGGCGAAGGCGGCUCACUGGCCCGAUACUGACGCUGAGGCACGAAAGCGUGGGGAGCAAACAGG